rnacentral:rRNA from 1 species
UCUUCCGCAAUGGACGAAAGUCUGACGGAGCAACGCCGCGUGAGUGAUUAAGGUUUUCGGACCGUAAAACUCUGUUGUUAGGGAAGAACAAGUACCGUUCGAAUAGGGCGGCACCUUGACGGUACCUAACCAUAAAGCCAUGGCUAACUACGUGCCAGCAGCCGCGGUAAUACGUAGGUGGCAAGCGUUGUCCGGAAUUAUUUGGCGUAAAGCGCGCGCAGGCGGUUUCUUAAGUCUGAUGUGAAGGCCCCCGGCUCAACCGGGGAGGGUCAUUGGAAACUGGGGAAGUUGAGUGCAGAAGAGGAGAGUGGAAUUCCACGUGUAGCGGUGAAAUGCGUAGAGAUGUGGAGGAACACCAGUGGCGAAGGCGACUCUCUGGUCUGUAACUGACGCUGAGGCGCGAAAGCGUGGGGAGCGAACAG